rnacentral:misc_RNA from 1 species
GAUGAAGAACGCAGCGAAAUGCGAUAAGUAGUGUGAAUUGCAGAAUUCCGUGAAUCAUCGAAUCUUUGAACGCACAUUGCGCCUUCUGGUAUUCCGGAAGGCAUGCCUGUUCGAGAGUCAUUAACAACCGUUUCGAUCCCUUUCUUUCAGAAAUCACAAAGAGGAAAAGGGUUUGGUUAUGGUGGAGGAGGGAAAGGGAGCGUUUAGCCUGUAAAAAAAGAGGCUGUGUUCCGCCUCCCCCCCAAAAUUGUACAGGCGGUCGUGUGCGCCCACGCAUCGAGGUGUUGUAAAAGCUGCCACGGCACUUUUCACCUGUGCAGUGCGAGAUUGGCCAGCCGGUUUAAAAACCCCUCCAAACAAUCAAAGGUUGACCUCGGAUCAGGUAGGGAUACCCGCUGAACUUAAGCAUAUCAAUAAGCGGAGGA